AGAUACAUUAAGUUCAGAUUUUUCUGUAACUAAAUGUUAAUUAUCUUUUUACUAUAACUGGAAUAAUUUCCAGAGAAAUCUCUGUAUUCUGUUGCCAAGGGCAACACUAAUGUCAAAUUCUUGACUUUGGUAACCACAGUAGAACUUUUAUAAGAUGGGUUAUAAAAACCAAAAUUAUCUAUUGAUGAUUGGAUAAGAGACCUGAUUCAACUUUAUGGUCUUAUAGCAAUUUCUGCAUUUUAUAAAUUCAAAAAGAACUGCCCAGCUGGGAUGCAGUAAUUUCAUUUUCUCUAAAAUAUCAAUGUAAUCACAUAAAAGGGAAAAUGUCCCCAGGAGAAGUUCUCUUGCUAUUAGCAGUAACAUAUAUAAAACUCUUCUCAGAAAAGGGCUGUUAAUCAUGUCAUUGGAAAGGGCCCCAAGAAGUCAUUUAUGCCAUCUUGGGUAGAUAAAUGAGUAUUCUAACCUUAAAAAUAUAUCCAAGGAAGAAGUUUCAAACUCUUCUUCUGUUGGCUUAAUUAUUAUAGGCACUGCCUUGGAGCGAUGUUAAAAAACACUGAUGAUGCAAUUCUUUCAACAGGUAUUUAUUGAGCAUCUACUGUGUUUAUAACAUAGUAAGAGAAUGAGACAUGGUCUUUCACGGCAAAGAGAUUAUAAGGGAGUUGAAGAGAUAAAACAGGAAGAAGGAAGAAUUUGCCACAAAGGACUGAAAAUGACACUGUACCUCAUCUCCUAGAAGAAGGCAGUUAAUCAGCAACACAGCAUCUUGUGAUGGAUCACAUCUCUGUUUUACUGAAGAAAAUACAUUGCAGUGCUUUUGGUGCUAUGCAGGCCUCAGUUUGGGGGCUAGCUCUACCACAAACCGAGCUUUUUGAACUUUUUGACCCUGGGUAAGUUAUUUUAUCUUUC
ensembl:lncRNA